CGGCGAGUGAAGAGGGAAUAGCCCAGCACCGAAGCCUGUAGUCAUUUGAUUACUAGGCAAUGUGGUGUUAAGGUAUGUUCAUGGCGUACUGCUUUACCCUAAGUCCAAUUUUGAGUGUGGCAAUUGGAAUGGCCCAAAGAGGGUGUAAGGCCCGUGUGGGUAAAGAUCAAGAAUGCCAGUAUUAGCUUUGAACAAACCUUGGAGUCGGGUUGUUUGUGAAUGCAGCCCAAAGUAGGUGGUAAACUCCAUCUAAGGCUAAAUACUAACACGAGUCCGAUAGCGAACAAGUACCGUGAGGGAAAGUUGAAAAGUACUUUGAAGAGAGGGUAAACAGUGCGUGAAACCGCUUAAAGGUAAACGGGUGGAGUUGAACUGGAAGCCUUGAGAAUUCAGCUGAUAAGUAUGACGUGUUGACUGGCGCUUAGAGACUGCUUAGUUGCAGGUUUUUGCUCCUUGUGAGUAGAAAUGCGCGAUACACUUAACAAGUGUUGCGUGCUCUAAGUGUAGCAAGUUAGCUUGUUAGUGCACUUUCUCAGGGUGUUCACCACGACCGGAAUUGCUGACUGUUUGUUAUGGUUAAACCGAUUAAAUUUGGUACUUGUAUUAAAUUUAAUUGGGAUGGCAGGUAGCUUAAUGAUUAUUAUUUUCUAAUAAUAGUUAUUCAGUGUAAUCAGCUAAUCAUGACGAAUCUGUGCAGUAUUUCGGAGAUGAAGGGUUUUAGUAUAGGCAUUGUGGUUGAUUGGAUUGCUUAAGUUUGGUUAGCGUUACUUGCUUAUGUAAGUACGGUAAUAGCUUGAGUUGUCGAAUUAAUGGCAUUGCUGUUGUAUUAAAGCCAAAAGUCAGUGGUGUUGUGGUAGACUAUCCACCCGACCCGUCUUGAAACACGGACCAAGGAGUUUAACAUGUGUGCAAGUCAUUGGGCGUUACGAAACCCACAGGCGUAGUGAAAGUAAAGGCCAAGUUAAAUUGGCUAAGGUGAGAUCUUGUUGACUUACUACUAGGGGUAGAAGUUGCAAGCGCAUCACCGGCCCGUCUUAUAAUGUAUUUCAUUGGGGCGGAGCAUGAGCAUACAUGUUGAGACCCGAAAGAUGGUGAGCUAUGCUUGCGCAGGUUGAAGCCAGAGGAAACUCUGGUGGAGGACCGUAGCGAUUCUGACGUGCAAAUCGAUCGUCUAACGUGAGUAUAGGGGCGAAAGACUAAUCGAACCAUCUAGUAGCUGGUUCCCUCUGAAGUUUCCCUCAGGAUAGCUGGCAUUUAUUCGCUAAACAGUUUUAUCCGGUAAAGCGAAUGAUUAGAGGUAUUGGGGAUAAAAUAUCCUCAACCUAUUCUCAAACUUUAAAUGGGUGAGAAGCUUUGCUCGCUUAAAUGGAGCAGAGCAUUGAAUGUGAGUGCCAAGUGGGCCAUUUUUGGUAAGCAGAACUGGCGCUGUGGGAUGAACCAAACGUUCGGUUAAAGUGCCAAAUGUAACGCUCAUGAGACCCCACAA
rnacentral:rRNA from 1 species